rnacentral:lncRNA from 1 species
CCACCGAAGAACGUCUCAGUUGCUUCCAAGUUUGGGCAAUUAUGAAUAAAACUGUCAAAGCAUCUGUGUGCAGAUUUUUGUGUGGAUGACUGCCAGGAUUUUAACAGGUAGACAUGCAUUGCAGACAGAGGGGCUUUCCCACAACAUGCUGGUGGACAUCAUCUUCCUCCGAGAGACUGAAAAGCUUGCGGAUUCUGCUAGCUCUUUGGAGCCCCAGGCGACGAGGCACAGUAGUAUCACAUCAGCAGCAACUUCUGUGGCCAUUCGCUUCUCAUAAUGGCAUGAAGUUUGCAUUCAUCAUCCACUGCAAUGAGUUUCUGGCAGCCAGUAGCUGGGAAAGAGAUGUUCAGCUUCAUCGUGAGGCUGCCUACUGCCUCCGAGGCACCACGAGAAAGAGUUAGAAGUAAGUAUCAUUUAGAGUGAUAUCAGAAAUCGGGUGACCGGUUAAGAGGGUAGAGCAAUAGCC